AUGGUGGCGCGUCACUUCCUUCUCCGUUUAUCUGCGGGCAGCACACAACACUUAAACAAUAUUGACGACACGGGCAACAUAAAAUUCACUUAUGAGUUAGAAACAGAAGGCAGCAUAGCAUUUAUGGACAUGAAAAUCACCAGGCAGACCGACGGGACCCUAAACAUAAACACAUACAGGAAACCAACACACACAGACCAAUAUUUAUUAUGGACAUCAGAACACACCACCAUACACAAAAUGUCAGUAAUCAGAACAUUAUAUCACCGAGCAAACAUAAUAACAGAAGAGAGAGGCCGUAAACAAGAGGACAAACACAUACAACAUGCUUUAAAGACCUGCGCAUACCCGACAUGGGCAAUAAACAAAGGAAAACAACAAACAAAAACAGAAAGCAAAGAACAACCCAAAAAAAGAACCAGAAACCCAGAAAGACAAGAACCAAAACCAGUGAUAACCCUACCAUACAUCAGAGGCAUAACGGAAAAAAUAAGAGCAACAAUGAAAAAACACAACAUAAACACACCAACAAAGCCAUACACAACAGUUAGAAACAGACUAGUACACCCAAAAGACAAAAUAUCAGCUGGACAAAAAUGUGGAGUCAUCUACGAAAUCCCAUGCAAAAUAUGCAAUAAAACAUACAUAGGAGAAACCGGACGCCAACUCAACACACGAACAAUAGAACACAGAAAGGAGUGCGAGAAAGAGGCAAAUCGUAAACACACAAGAGCAGCAAAAGAAGAAGCAGAAAGUACAAUAAAAAAGUCAGCCGUAUCAGAUCAUUGCUUAAGAGAAAACCAUAUAAUGGACUGGGACGGCACAAGGAUCAUAACCACCGAACAACAAAAAUACAAAAGAUGGAUCAAGGAAGCAAUCGAGAUAAGGAGACGUGGAUGUGGGACCAUGAACAGGGACGACGGAGUUUACACGCUGGACCACGCAUGGGACUGCAUCGUCGGAGAGGGGAGAGCGGGCAGUAGAGGGCGACAACGUCCUCUGCUGCCCGCAGAUAAGCGGAGAAGGAAGUGA
rnacentral:lncRNA from 1 species